AUGUUGUGCUGGAAAAAAGUCCAAAAAUCUCCUUCCAUGGGAAAUCUUGAAGUUUUUCCUUUUCAUUUUGAAAUGACUUUUUAUUUUGGAAUUUCACUUGGAAUGGAAAUUCUAAGAGUCUGCCAAUUCAAGUCAGCUGUGAUUCAGCUGUUACUCAUCCAUAAAAUUAAUAACUUCAUGUCUUGUUUCUUAAUUCAUAGAAGUUUAGUAUUGGUUUAUCAUUAUUCAAAUAUUAUCCAAAGCACUUUUUUCUUUCAGGAAAGAAAUAAGGAGGAGAGAACCUAUCUGAAAGACCGUGCUGAAAACCAAGAUGCUUGUUUUUCAACAGAGACCUCAGCAAGACUACAGCUCCAAAUACUUCCAUGAUGGCUGCCAACCUAGUCCUCUGAGAGGAGAAGGGCAAGAGUGAAAAAUCUCAAAAAUCGCAUGAUUCAAGCUGGGAUUCAAGCAAAAACUUGUAACUCAUAAAGAACCUGUGAGCACUGGCAGUGACUGAAACAAGUCCAGAGCACGAGUUAGUGAUGUUUACAUCAUUUCCCACUUUGGACUUUUAUAUGUUGAGGUACAUUUUUUGUUAGUGCAACAGAGCAGCUAGUAAGAAACUUGGCAUUUCUGUGUCAUUAGGCAACUGUCAUCAUAUGAGUAUUACUGAUCUUUCAGAGUAAUAACUGACUACCAACUAUUUAACCAAAAGAAAAAAAAAAUAAUAUGAUGCAAUUACAGGUUAAGGUUUGAUCCCUAGCUGGUGGUUUGUUGCCAUACAGCAAAUGGUGUGUUUUGUAGUUGUCCCAGGUCAAUUUCCAAGCAGCAGAGAACCAUGUCUCUGGUACAACUGUGUGGCCAUAAAACCUUCCUGCAGCCUCUCCAGCACGGAGAAUGAAGCAGAAGAUGUACUGCAGCCUGGGACACUCUUUUCUAUAGAUAAUUUCUCUGCUAGGUUCAAAGCCGACAGUGAACUCCAGUUCCUUUUCAUGCUGUUUCCGUGUAGCAGGCCCCUGACUGCAGAUGAGGGCUCUCCCUGCCUUCUCCGAGGCGAGACCAUGAUGCUGGGGAGAUGAGUGGCACUUUCUCCACUCAUACCUAUGCUCCUGAGGCAGGGUGUUUAGCCCUGCUGUUCCACCGUGUAAUGAUUCAGGACUGCACCAGUAAAUGGAAGGGAAGGUUAAUCAUCCUCCUGGAAAGCCAGCAGUUUUAGUCACGGUGCAAAAACACCCGUGACAGCUGUCCUCUCUUUUACCCAAACCCAGAAAGAAGGGGUUACAAGGCUGAAGAGAUCCCAGACAGUGAUCUACAGCUCUGGCCUUCCUGAAAUGUAUUCCUCUGCAGCAUCUGUAAGCGGUAAGUCAUCCGUGUAGUCCUCACGGGUGUGUGACACAUCCCUGAGCCAUGGCUUUUCUCCUCUGGAAUAAGGCCGUGUUUUAACAUGGCACUGAGCACUUUAUACUCAACAUCAGCACGCGGGUCUAAAUAAAACGAUUUCUUAUCAUCUGUCCUGUUUUUAU
rnacentral:lncRNA from 1 species